rnacentral:snoRNA from 1 species
GUGAUGAUCCGCCAGUGGCCUAACGGUGAAGACCUCACCCUUUGCUGA